rnacentral:rRNA from 1 species
UACGGAGGGUGCAAGCGUUAUCCGGAUUCACUGGGUUUAAAGGGUGCGUAGGCGGAUAGGUAAGUCCGUGGUGAAAUCCUGCAGCUUAACUGCAGAACUGCCGUGGAUACUAUCUAUCUUGAAUAUCGUGGAGGUUAGCGGAAUAUGUCAUGUAGCGGUGAAAUGCUUAGAUAUGACAUAGAACGCCCAUUGCGAAGGCAGCUAACUACGCGAUCAUUGACGCUGAUGCACGAAAGCGUGGGGAUCAAACAGG